rnacentral:rRNA from 1 species
AGUCGAACGAGAAAGGGGCUUCGGCCCUGAGUACAGUGGCGCACGGGUGAGUAACACGUGACUAACCUACCCUGGAGUGGGGAAUAACUGAGGGAAACCUUAGCUAAUACCGCAUAAUACCCACGGGUCAAAGGAGCAAUUCGCUUCAGGAGGGGGUCGCGGCCGAUUAGCUAGUUGGCGGGGUAAUGGCCCACCAAGGCAGUGAUCGGUAUCCGGCCUGAGAGGGCGCACGGACACACUGGAACUGAAACACGGUCCAGACUCCUACGGGAGGCAGCAGUGGGGAAUUUUGCGCAAUGGGGGAAACCCUGACGCAGCAACGCCGCGUGGAGGAUGAAAUCCCUUGGGAUGUAAACUCCUUUCGAUCGGGACGAUUAUGACGGUACCGGAAGAAGAAGCCCCGGCUAACUUCGUGCCAGCAGCCGCGGUAAUACGAGGGGGGCAAGCGUUGUUCGGAAUUAUUGGGCGUAAAGGGUGUGUAGGUGGUUUGGUAAGUCGUGUGUGAAAUCUUCGGGCUCAACUCGAAGUCUGCACACGAAACUGCCGGGCUUGAGUAUGGGAGAGGUGAGUGGAAUUCCUGGUGUAGCGGUGAAAUGCGUAGAUAUCAGGAGGAACACCUGUGGCGAAAGCGGCUCACUGGACCAUUACUGACACUGAAACACGAAAGCUAGGGGAGCAAACAGGAUUAGAUACCCUGGUAGUCCUAGCCCUAAACGAUGACUGUUUG